UACGAAGGGGGCGAGCGUUGUUCGGAUUUACUGGGCGUAAAGGGCGCGCAGGCGGCUUUGUUUGUCAGGCGUGAAAGCCCCGGGCUUAACCUGGGAAUGGCCAUGGAAACUGGCGAACUGGAGUGUGGCAGAGGGGGGUGGAAUUCCGCGUGUAGCAGUGAAAUGCGUAGAGAUGCGGAGGAACACCGAUGGCGAAGGCAGCCCCCCUGGGCUAGCACUGACGCUCAGGCAC
rnacentral:rRNA from 1 species